rnacentral:rRNA from 1 species
UGCCAGCCGCCGCGGUAAUACGGAGGGUGCAAGCGUUGUUCGGAAUUAUUGGGUUUAAAGGGUCCGUAGGCGGGAAAAUAAGUCAGUGGUGAAAGCCUGCAGCUUAACUGCAGAACUGCCAUUGAAACUGUUUUUCUUGAGUAUAGAUGAAGUGGGCGGAAUGUAUCAUGUAGCGGUGAAAUGCAUAGAUAUGAUACAGAACACCGAUUGCGAAGGCAGCUCACUAAACUAUUACUGACGCUGAGGCGCGAAAGCGUGGGUAGCAAACAGGAUUAGAUA